rnacentral:lncRNA from 1 species
AGGUUCCAAAGAGUGUAAUCAAAGAGAGUAACCAGCUCAAAUGGGUUUGCAAAGGGUUGAUAGUGUUUGAGUAGCGAGAAUGAAAGCCUUCGUCAUCUCAACCGGAAAAGAUUUUAUUAUAUAAAGGAUCCAACAUAGUACCUUUUGACUGCAUUUACAUUGACAGUUAUUUCAAGGACGUUUCCUUCGAUGUGUCCCAAGUACAACGCACUCUUUUUGGCAGUACUCUUGUUGUAAUGUAUGGACCUUUCCAAUUUCGGAACCAAUUUUUCUUCAGUUGUUCCAACUCUUUGUCUUGUUUCCUUAAGCUAUUCUUCAUUGCGACCCAAUUCUUGAUUCAUUAUUUCGAGGUCUGACAGAGUUUUAAGAUCCGGGCAUGAAGUCCACAAGCAUGUCAUAUUAUUGAAAUCUGCAUUUAAUAGAACUAAAAGAGAAUGAGAAAAUUGACAAGAUUUAAGAAAAGAGACAUUCCGGGAAAAUGAAAUAUCAAUUUCAUUUGAUUUUUUUUUCUUUUUUUUUAAUUUUUGAAGAUAGAAGGGUUUACAUCGGAAAGUAAGACAAUAAAGUAAAACAUCUGGAUCACACCCUGAGAUAAUCCAGAUGCAGAAAGGAUAGCAAGACUGGCUACCGAGACUCCCGUCUGAUGGGGAACUUUCAGGCUUGGCAAUCGUUUUUUGGCUUUUCUUCCGUCUCGGCAAUGGCUGCAAUAGCCUUCAGUGCCGGAUCAAAUUCCUCAGCUUCACAGAUCAUUCUGUCUAUUGGCCCGUUUGUGAGAGUAGGCAGGGGAAUGUUCAUCAUAUUAGGAACCUUUUCGUCCCGGGGAACGAUUCUUUCAGCUUCAAUCAAGUCUUCAACUG